GCAAGUCUGGUGCCAGCAGCCGCGGUAAUUCCAGCUCCAAUAGCGUAUAUUAAAGUUGUUGCAGUUAAAAAGCUCGUAGUUGAAUUUCGGGAUCAAUAUUUCGGUCAUGCCGUUGGUAUGCACUGUUAUCAUUGAUUUCUCACCUUCUAAAGAACCAUAAUGCCAUUAAUUUGGUGUUACGGGGAAUUAGGACUGUUACCUUGAAAAAAUUAGAGUGUUUAAAGCAGGCUCACGCUUGAAUACAUUAGCAUGGAAUAAUGAAAUAGGACAUCCGAUUCUAUUUUGUUGGUUUCUAGGAUCGAUGUAAUGAUUAAUAGGGAUAGUUGGGGGCAUUAGUAUUCAAUUGUCAGAGGUGAAAUUCUUGGAUUUAUUGAAGACUAACUACUGCGAAGGCAUUUGCCAAGGAUGUUUUCAUUAAUCAAGAACGAAAGUUAGGGGAUCGAAGACGAUCAGAUACCGUCGUAGUCUUAACCAUAAACUAUGCCGACUAGGGAUCGGAUGAUGUUAAUUUUUUAAUGACUCAUUCGGCGCCUUACGGGAAAC
rnacentral:rRNA from 1 species